GGAUUGUGGCUCAGUGGUAGAGCGCUCCCCUAGCACGAGCGCAACCCGGGUUCGAUUCUCAGCACCA
rnacentral:tRNA from 1 species